rnacentral:rRNA from 1 species
AGAGUUUGAUCAUGGCUCAGAUUGAACGCUGGCGGCAUGGCUAAAACAUGCAAGUCGCACGGGCCCGCAAGGGUAAGUGGCGAAAGGGUUAGUAAUGCGAUCGAACGUACCCCGAGGUGGAGGAUAGCCGUGGGAAACUGCGGGUAAUACUUCAUGAUCUCCUAGGAGCAAAGCUUUGGCGCCUUGGGAGCGGCGAUCGUCCUAUCAGGUAGUUGGUGGGGUAAAGGCCUACCAAGCCGAAGACGGGUAGCGGGUGUGAGAGCACGGCCCGCAACAUCGGAACUGAGACACUGUCCGGACUCCUACGGGAGGCUGCAGUAACGAAUCUUCCGCAAUGGGCGCAAGCCUGACGGAGCAAUGCCGCGUGUAGGAUGAAGCGUCUCUGACGUGUAAACUACUGUCAGGGGUCGGAACCAAUGAUUGACCCCAAAGGAAGUGGCGACUAACUCUGUGCCAGCAGUCGCGGUAAUACAGAGGCCACAAGCGUUAGUCGGAAUCACUGGGCUUAAAGGGUGCGUAGGUGGGCUUGCAAGCGUUUUGUGAAAGCCCGUAGCUCAACUACGGAACAGCAGAGCGAACUGCAAGUCUUGAGGCAGGUAAGGGCCGGAAGAACAAACGGUGGAGCGGUGAAAUGCGUAGAUAUCGUUUGGAAUGCCGAUGGGGAAGCCGUCCGGCUGGGCCUGUCCUGACACUGAGGCACGAAAGCGUGGGGAGCAAACAGGAUUAGAUACCCUGGUAGUCCACGCCGUAAACGAUGUAUGCUAGACUGGUGCGGUUUUGACGCCGUAUCAGUCGUAGGAAAACCGAUAAGCAUACCGCCUGGGGAGUACGGUCGCAAGGCUAAAACUCAAAUGAAUUGACGG